rnacentral:lncRNA from 1 species
GUUCUUUGCUGCAAGAGGAUGGAAAGGAUCACUGUGAUUUUGUUUUUCUCCUGCUGCUCUGUCUGGAAGCCAUGUGAGGAGGACAUCUGAGCAGCCCUGUGGAGAGGCCCCCAGCCAACAGCCAGCAUGAACUUGCUGGGCAUGUGAGUGCACCACCUUGAAAGUAGAGCCUCAACCCCUGGUCAAGCCAUCAGGAGUCGUUUUCCAAGCCGGCAGCUGCCUGUCUCCUUUGAAGAGUCUUGGAAGCAGCCACCAUCCAUCAUUCGCUUGGCAUGACUGUGAAGAUGGCAAUGACGGCUGCAGUCCAAGCCCUAGUGGGCAGAUGAG